rnacentral:lncRNA from 1 species
UCCAAUAAAAACACAUCAACUCUGUUGAAUUUUGACUUAGUAUUUGCUGGAAUUUGAAUUUUGAAUAUUGCAGCUGGAGUCUUGCACAAAAUCUGCAACAUCUAGAUAUUUUCUUAUUUUUAUUUGGUCAAGAUUUGGUUUCUAUUUUAUAGGAAGUAGUUGUUCAUCAUCUAGUAGCUUGAUUUUCUGCUAUUCUAAUGUCAUUUAAGUUACAAGUUCAUGUAUAAAUUCAGCAUUCUUCAUCAAUAAAAUUAGAGCUCCGGUAGCCCAAAAAUAUAUAUUUUGUAUAAGUGUUAAAUCCAAAUACCAACAAAGUGGUAUCAGAGCCUUUCUUAUCUUGAGGGGCCAGUGAGGUGAGUGAACCCAAACACCUUCUAAAAUCAUUUAGCAAUGGAAGAGUCAAGUCUCACAGUUGCACCAUCAAUUCUUGAUGGAGACAAUUAUGAAACUUGGGCUGUUAGAAUGACAGUUCAUCUACAAGCACUUGAUGUUUGGGAAGCAGUGGAAGAAAAUUAUGAAGUUCCUCCCCUGGGAGCCAAUCCAACUGUGGCUCAAAUGAAGUUGCAUAAAGAAAGAAGGACAAGAAAGGCUAAAGCGAAAGCUUGCUUGUUUGCUGCAGUUUCACCAUCAAUUUUCAUCAAAAUCAUGAAAAUUGAUUCAGCUGCAGAAAUUUGGGAGUAUCUCAAGGAGGAAUACAAAGGAGAUGAAAUAAUAAAAAACAUGCAGGUGAUGAACUUGAUUCGAGAAUUUGAAAUGAAGAAAAUGAGGGAGUCUGAUGCUGUUAAAGACUAUGCUGCACAACUUCUUUCAAUAGCAGACAAAGUUAGGCUGCUUGGAAAAGAAUUUUCCAAUGAGAAGAUUGUUCAAAAGAUAUUGGUUACACUUCCUGAGAAAUAUGAAGCUACAAUUUCCUCUUUGGAGAAUUCAAAAGAUCUGUCAACUAUUAGCUUGACAGAAUUAUUACAUUCCUUGGAGGCUGUGGAACAAAGAAGACUCAUGAGACAAGGAGAUACUGCAGAAGGAGCAUUUCAAGCAAGAAUGCAGAAAAAUGCAGGCCAUAAAAAUGGAAAGGUGAACAACAACAAGUCGUGUGGCAACAACCAGAAAAAUGGAGUUUUUCCACCUUGUCCUCAUUGCAAGAAGACAAAUCAUUCUCCACAAAAAUGUUGGUGGAGACCAGAUGUGAAAUGCAACAAGUGUGGUAAACAAGGACAUGUGGAGAGGAUUUGCAAAAAUCAACAGCAAGAAGAAACUAGUGCAGCAGUUGACUAUUGCCAGGAGGAGCAAUUGUUUGAAGCAACGUGUUUUGCUAAUAAAAGCACCUCUAAAAGCUGGCUUGUGGAUAGUGGUUGUACAAACCACAUGACAAAUAAUCAAGAUCUCUUUAGAGAACUUGAUAGAACAACUAUUUCCAAAGUCAGAAUUGGAAAUGGUGAGUAUAUUCCAGUGAAGGGCAAAGGAACGGUUGCUAUCGAAAGCCAAACAGGUUUGAAACUCAUUUAUGAUGUUUUGUUUGUGCCUGACAUUGACCAAAACUUACUCAGUGUUGGACAGCUCGUUGAGAAAGAAUUUAAAGUUUAUUUUGAAGAUAGGAAUUGCAUUAUCAAGGAUGCUGAAGGCAAAGAGGUGUUCAACAUAAAAAUGAAGGGCAAGAGUUUUGCCUUGAAUUUACUGGAAGAUGAGCAUACUGCUAUUUUACAACAAGAUAGCACAACAAUGUUUUGGGACAGAAGGGUCGAGCACUUUCAUCAUGAUGAUGUGCUCUACAUGAAGAAAAAUCAAAUAGUUGAAGGACUUCCUGACUUAGAAAAAGAUCUUCCUAUAUGUGCUACUUGUCAAUAUGGGAAGCAAACUAAACUUCCCUUUCCAAAGAAAAUAUCCUGGAGAGCAACCCAAAAAUUGCAACUGGUGCAUACUGAUGUUGGUGGAUCUCAAAAAAUGCCAUCCUUGAAAUGGAAUGCAAACAAUGUUUGGUGGAUCUCAAAAAAUGCCAUCCUUGAAAUGGAAUGCAAACAAUUUUGGGCUAAAACUGCAAGUAGAGCAGUAUAUUUUCUGAACAUAUUACCAACAAAAGUGUUAAAGAAGCAGACCCCUUUCGAAGUUUGGUUUGAGUGUCUUUGCAUCUACGAAGUCAAGGAGGAGUGUUGAAUUUUGACUUAGUAUUUGCUGGAAUUUGAAUUUUGAAUAUUGCAGCUGGAGUCUUGCACAAAAUCUGCAACAUCUAGAUAUUUUCUUAUUUUUAUUUGGUCAAGAUUUGGUUUCUAUUUUAUAGGAAGUAGUUGUUCAUCAUCUAGUAGCUUGAUUUUCUGCUAUUCUAAUGUCAUUUAAGUUACAAGUUCAUGUAUAAAUUCAGCAUUCUUCAUCAAUAAAAUUAGAGCUCCGGUAGCCCAAAAAUAUAUAUUUUGUAUAAGUGUUAAAUCCAAAUACCAACAAACUCCAAUUCCUACAAAGGUUUAAAUUUUUAAAAACUGGAGUAUUUAUGCUAUUCCUCAGCAGACAACUUAAAAACACUAAUGCAAUGAAAUUUUACAGGCAAGUCAGGCAAUCAAUGUUCUGAUUUGCAGACAAGUAUCUAAUUAAUCAAUACAAGGUAGAUAAUGAUGUUAUGAGUCAAAAUUAAAUCGUGAAAAUGUAAUUGUAUUU